AGAUCCAUCAAUGAACAUGGAGAGAAAUACUCUGAUAAUGUGACUUUAAAUGUCAUGUAUCCACCCAGGAACGUCUCAGUGUUGAUAACUGGAUCUGGUGAAAUAGUGUCAGGAGAUUCAGUGACUCUGAUCUGCAGCAGUGAUUCAAACCCUCCUGCUCUGAACUUCAGCUGGUUUAAGGAGAAUGAAAGCUCAGCUGUUGGAUCUGGACAGAGUUUCAGUGCACUACAGAGUGGACGCUUCUACUGUCAGGCUCACAAUCAACAUGGAUCUCAGAGAUCAGACGCUGUAACUGUCACAGGUGAAGGUUUGGAAACCUGUAUAUAACUUUCUUCAGUCUGGACAGUUCAUCUUAGCUGACAAUGUUUCUCUCUUUCAGAGCAUCAUAGAUCCAGUUGGCAUGUAGUUUUUGGAAUCACAGUGAAAUGUGGAUCAUUUUUCAUCCUCGCCAUCAUCAUUAUCAUCGUCAUACUGUUUAUAAUAAAGAAACGAAGGAGUGUUAAAACUGAAGAUCUCACAGUGAAACAGCUCUUUUAUUUCAAUGAAGACAAAUACACAACUCUUGAGCUCAAGUCCACGACCUCAGAGCUUUUCUAAACAUCACAAUCCAUCAGUAAGCCACCUGCAGAUCUUCUCAAUUUAAUCAAUUAAACUGCCUUCAAUACUAGUUUGACUGUUAUGUAUUCUGUGAAAAAUGUAUAAUGUUAUCUUUCUUUAUCUCAAAGCAGGUUCACACUGUGUGAUUUUUCACCGGUUGUUUCUUGUGAGACUGUACAAACACUGUAAGCCUGUUACACUGUAGGAUCUCAGCUGCCAGUCAUGAUGUAUUAAACAAGCAAGAAGACUCAACUGGAGUUUUUCAUCAAUCUGUGACACGUUCAGUGACUGUGAGCUGCAUUUAUGGAAAUGGUGGCUAG